GACGAACGCUGGCGGCGUGCUUAACACAUGCAAGUCGAACGGAAAGGCCCUGCUUUUGUGGGGUGCUCGAGUGGCGAACGGGUGAGUAACACGUGAGUAACCUGCCCUUGACUUUGGGAUGACUUCAGGAAACUGGGGCUAAUACCGGAUAGGAGCUCCUGCUGCAUGGUGGGGGUUGGAAAGUUUCGGCGGUUGGGGAUGGACUCGCGGCUUAUCAGCUUGUUGGUGGGGUAGUGGCUUACCAAGGCUUUGACGGGUAGCCGGCCUGAGAGGGUGACCGGCCACAUUGGGACUGAGAUACGGCCCAGACUCCUACGGGAGGCAGCAGUGGGGAAUAUUGCACAAUGGGCGGAAGCCUGAUGCAGCAACGCCGCGUGCGGGAUGACGGCCUUCGGGUUGUAAACCGCUUUCGCCUGAGACGAAGCGUGAGUGACGGUAAUGGGUAAAGAAGCACCGGCUAACUACGUG
rnacentral:rRNA from 1 species